ensembl:processed_transcript 9830144P21Rik RIKEN cDNA 9830144P21 gene
GAGUUCCAUUGGAUGUCUCGAGGGAAUAAGGCAGAAAAUGACAAAGCAGAAUGACCAAGCUCUGUCUCUGCAGUGUGCACAUGCACGCACAUCAUACAAACAAACAAAUACGCAAAUCCAGUUGAACAUCUUCAAGUUUGUUUCUUUUAUGUGUUCAAUAAUGGUAUUUUUAAAUAUACUAAACAAGAAGCAGAAGGUCUACUCUUCAUUAUGUAAGACCCUGAGAGGCAAUAAGCCUCCCUUAUCAGGAGAGGAUGUGCAAAGAUCCAUCGCAUCUCAUCCGCAGCCCGCCAACCGCUCCAAAGGUCACUGCUGAGGGGCUGAAAAGACCAUAUUUGCAGCUCAAAAAUGAAAGUCGUUAAAAAUUAUGAUCAUGCACUCAGACCUCAAAUUUCAUGUGGUCGCUCCUCUCUCUCUCUCUGCACACACUGAAGCCUUCUCGGUAUCCAUUGUGGCCUCGAGAUCUCCUGAGGCUGCAGGCUUUUCUUUGGGAAGGAUUAUGAAAGUACACACCGAGUUCUCUGCAUUUGUAGCUUUUGCUUUCUGUGAUAUGAUGGACACGCGUGCUAUGGAGGACACAUGGAGGUCAGACGACAGCCUACAGGAGUCAGUUCUUUCUCUCUACCACGUGGUUCCUGGGACCAAGCUUAGGUUACCAGGCUUCUAAAUGAUCUCAGAACACACACUCACCUGGGACGAAAUAAUCUGAGGGGUACCCGACGCCUUGUCGCCUUCGGGCUGGUGUGCCACUUGAAUCCCUCCUUGUACUUCCUCCAUCCCUGGGUGACAUGUUCCCUCUUGUGCAGACUGUGACCUCAAGUGGCUUUCUCGAUAUCUGCAGUACUUUAAUCUUCUCCUCAGGACUGUGUGACUUCCCGACUGAGUUCUGUGAGCAGUAAAUGAGACAGACAAGCGGGGGGUCAGUUAGAGCCGGUUCUGAUUAAUUUGUGCCAUCCUAAUUAUCAUCUGAUUCCCCUUUGGUCAAACUCAUCUAAAAAUUAUAUAACAUAGGAAAUCUAAAUUGUAUUUAUCUAUUCCCAUAAUUACAUAUUUAAUUAUAAAUUAAGUGUGCACUUCAAGCAAAGGCCAGAACAGAACAUGGGAAAAUUAAAACAGAGGGUCGGAAGUCACAGGUUGGAGAUUCGCAAUGUACUGUUUACGUAGCACAAGGAAUGUAAACUCAUGAAAAUUGAAUUGGGUAUUUCAGCCUUGAAAUCCGCAUAUUUUGGUAGCUACGAAGAAUAAAAACAUCUUCACUUCAAUCUCUACCAUUGCUAGAGCCCUAGCAUCGCUACAUCACAAAACAUAAUAAUCAAAUCAAACUGUAUUUUUUCCUGAAUAUGGAAAAUCUCCCUUAGGGCUGGAAGACUACCUUCCAAGAUGGCUGACUCCCAUGGUGGCACGUGGGAGGUAGCUGGUAUCCCACAAAGCACCAGUUUCGGAGGUUGUUUUGUUCUGUGUUUGAGAGGUUCUCUCUACGUGGCCGUGGCUACCUGGAACUCACUCAGUAGUCCAGGUUGGUCUCAAACUCACCUGCCUCUGCCUCCCAGGGGCUGGAAUUAAAGGUAUGCACUACUAUGCCCUGCAGCAGUCGGAAUUCUUUUACAGCAAUUACCUUUCCCACCGAGGAAGCAGUCUGAGAGAAGCAGAUGCUCCAGAGUGCUCAGGCGUGGACAGGGAAACUGACAUCUCUGACAGUGUCCAUGCAGCAAGGCAGUUGAAGAGCCUUCAGGGAGGAUCAGCCCAGGUUACACAAGUGUGGAAAGAGGGUCAAAGAAUCUAUGACAUUUUUCAGAGGUCAGUUAUCCCUUCCUAACGACAUCCUUGCAUGCUGGAACUGUAGACAAGUGGUUCCCAUUAUGCCCUGCAUUCCCUCCUAAAUCCUGAGUCUCCACCCAUCUCUAACACCUGCUUGUACUCUGCCCUAGUGACAGUCUGAGAAGUUCCUCUAUGUUUCCAUGACUUUGUGUUCAAGAGCUUUGGAAUCUAGCAGAACUGAGUCAGAUCCAACUUGCUUAUUACUUAAUAAACCUUAUUUUAUGGAAUUUAACACUGGAUACUAGAGUCUUUAUCUGAAAUGAAAUGGAUACCUGAU